UACAGAGGUCCCGAGCGUUGUUCGGAUUCAUUGGGCGUAAAGGGUGCGUAGGCGGCUUCCUAAGUUUGAUGUGAAAUCCUGGGGCGUCAACCCUGGAACUGCAUUGAAUACUGGGAGGCUAGAGUACUGGAGAGGAACUGGAAUUUACGGUGUAGCAGUGAAAUGCGUAGAGAUCGUAAGGAAGACCAGUGGCGAAGGCGAGUUUCUGGACAGUUACUGACGCUGAGGCACGAAGGCCAGGGAGCAAACGGG
rnacentral:rRNA from 1 species